AUGGAGAGCAAGGCGCUGCUGGCCUUUGCUCUGUGGCUCUGCGUGGAGACCCGGGCUGCCUCUGUGGGUUUGUCUAGCGUUUCUCUUGAUCCACCCAGGCUCAGCAUAAAAAAAGACAUACUUACAAUUAUGGCUAACACAACGCUUCAAAUUACUUGCAGGGGUCAGAGGGACUUGGACUGGCUUUGGCCCAACAACCAGAGCGGCUCUGAGAAAAGAGUGGAGGUGACGGAUUGCAGUGACAGUGCCUUAUGUAAGAUGCUCACCAUUCCAAAAGUGAUCGGAAAUGAUACUGGAGCCUACAAGUGCUUCUACCGGGACACUGACAUGGCCUCCGUCGUCUAUGUGUAUGUUCAAGAUUACAGAUCUCCGUUUAUUGCUUCGGUCAGUGACCAACAUGGAGUUGUGUACAUCACUGAGAACAAAAACAAAACUGUGGUGAUUCCAUGUCUGGGGACCAUUUCAAACCUCAAUGUGUCACUUUGUGCAAGGUAUCCAGAAAAGAGGUUUGUUCCUGAUGGUAACAGAAUUUCCUGGGACAGCAAGAAAGGCUUCACUAUUCCCAGCUACAUGAUCAGCUAUGCUGGCAUGGUCUUCUGUGAAGCAAAAAUUAAUGAUGAAAGUUACCAGUCUAUUAUGUACAUAGUUGUGGUUGUAGGGUACAAGAUUUAUGAUGUGGUUCUGAGCCCCCCUCACGGAGUUGAGCUGUCUGUUGGAGAGAAGCUUGUCUUAAAUUGUACAGCAAGAACUGAACUAAAUGUGGGGAUUGACUUCAACUGGGAAUACCCUUCUUUGAAGCAUCAGCAUAAGAAACUUGUAAACCGGGACCUAAAAACCCAGUCUGGGAGUGAGAUGAAGAAGUUUUUGAGCACCUUGACUAUAGAUGGUGUAACCCGGAGUGACCAAGGGUGGUACACCUGUGCCGCUUCCAGUGGGCUCAUGACCAAGAGGAACAGCACAUUCAUCAGGGUCCACGAAAAACCUUUUGUUGCUUUCGGUAGUGGCAUGGAAUCUUUGGUGGAAGCCACUGUGGGAGACCGUGUCAGAGUCCCUGUGAAGUGCCUUGGUUACCCUCCUCCAGAAAUAAAAUGGUAUAAAAAUGGAAGACUCAUUGAGUCCAAUCACACAAUUAAAGUGGGGCACGUACUGACUAUUAUGGAAGUGAGUGAAAAAGAUACAGGAAAUUACACUGUCAUCCUUACCAAUCCCAUUUCAAAGGAGAAACAGAGCCACGUGGUAUCUCUGGUUGUGAAUGUCCCACCCCAGAUUGGUGAGAAGUCUCUGAUCUCUCCCGUGGACUCUUACCAGUAUGGUACCUCCCAAACGCUGACGUGCACGGUCUAUGCAGUUCCUCCCCCGAGUCACAUCCAGUGGUACUGGCAGCUGGAAACAGAGUGUACCUACCAACCCAUCCAAGCUGCCUUAACGACAAACCCACAUACCUGUAAAGAAUGGAGAAACGUGGAGGACUUCCAGGGGGGAAACAAUAUCGAAGUCAACAAAAAUCAAUUUGCCCUAAUUGAAGGAAAAAACAAAACUGUAAGUACCCUUGUUAUCCAAGCAGCCAAUGUAUCCGCUUUGUACAAAUGUGAAGCGGUGAACAAAGCUGGGAGAGGAGAGAGGGUUAUCUCCUUCCACGUGACCAAGGGUUUUGAAAUCACUUUGCAACCCGGCACCCAGCCCACCGAGCAGGAGAGCGUGUCUCUGUGGUGCUCCGCGGACCGAACUAUGUUUGAGAACCUCACGUGGUACAAACUUGGCCCACAGGCUCUGCCCAUCCACGUGGGAGAGCUGCCCACACCUGUUUGCAAGAACUUGGAUGCUCUUUGGAAAAUGAACGCCACGAUGAUCUCUAAUAGCACAAAUGACAUUUUGAUCAUGGAGUUGCAGAAUGCAUCCUUGCAGGACCAAGGAGACUACAUCUGCUUUGCUCAGGACAGGAAGACCAAGAAAAGACAUUGCGUGGCCAGGCAGCUUACAGUCCUAGAGCGCAUGGCACCCACAAUCACAGGAAACCUGGAGAACCAGACAACAAGUAUUGGUGAAACCAUCGAAGUUUCCUGCACAGCGUCUGGGAAUCCCCCUCCACAGAUUACGUGGUUUAAAGACAAUGAGACGCUUGUGGAAGAUUCAGGCAUCGUGCUACAAGAUGGGAACCGGAACCUAACUAUCCGCAGGGUGAGGAAGGAGGAUGAAGGCCUGUACACCUGCCAGGCAUGCAGUGUUCUCGGGUGUGCAAAAGUGGAGGCGUUUUUCACAGUGGAAGGUGCCCAGGAAAAGACAAACUUGGAAGUCAUUAUUCUAGUCGGCACUGCAGUGAUUGCCAUGUUCUUCUGGCUACUUCUUGUCAUCGUUCUACGGACCGUUAAGCGGGCCAGUGGAGGGGAACUGAAGACGGGCUACUUAUCCAUCGUCAUGGAUCCAGACGAACUCCCCCUGGAUGAGCACUGUGAACGCCUGCCUUAUGAUGCCAGCAAAUGGGAAUUCCCCAGAGACCGGCUGAAACUAGGUAAGCCUCUUGGCCGUGGUGCCUUUGGGCAAGUGAUUGAAGCAGAUGCCUUUGGAAUUGACAAGACAGCAACCUGCAAGACAGUGGCUGUCAAAAUGUUGAAAGAAGGAGCAACACACAGCGAACACCGAGCUCUCAUGUCUGAACUCAAGAUCCUCAUUCAUAUUGGCCACCAUCUCAAUGUGGUCAAUCUUCUUGGUGCCUGUACCAAGCCAGGGGGGCCACUCAUGGUGAUUGUGGAAUUCUGCAAGUUUGGAAACCUGUCAACUUACUUAAGGAGCAAGAGAAAUGAGUUUGUCCCCUACAAGACUAAAGGGGCACGAUUCCGGCAAGGGAAAGAAUACGUUGGGGAAAUCACCGUGGAUCCUAAACGCCGCUUGGACAGCAUCACCAGUAGCCAGAGCUCAGCCAGCUCCGGAUUUGUUGAGGAGAAAUCCCUCAGUGAUGUGGAGGAAGAGGAAGUUUCUGAAGAUGUGUACAAGAACUUCCUGACCUUGGAGCAUCUCAUCUGUUACAGCUUCCAAGUGGCUAAGGGCAUGGAGUUUUUGGCAUCACGGAAGUGUAUCCACAGGGACCUGGCAGCGAGAAACAUCCUCUUGUCGGAGAAGAAUGUGGUUAAAAUCUGUGACUUUGGCUUGGCCCGGGAUAUUUAUAAAGACCCAGAUUAUGUCAGAAAAGGAGAUGCUCGCCUCCCUUUGAAAUGGAUGGCCCCGGAAACAAUUUUUGACAGAGUGUACACAAUUCAGAGUGACGUGUGGUCUUUUGGUGUCCUGCUCUGGGAAAUAUUUUCCUUAGGUGCUUCUCCAUAUCCUGGAGUAAAGAUUGAUGAGGAAUUUUGUAGGAGAUUGAAAGAAGGAACUAGAAUGAGAGCUCCUGAUUAUACCACACCCGAAAUGUACCAGACCAUGCUUGACUGCUGGCAUGGGGAGCCCAAUCAGAGACCCACGUUUUCAGAGCUGGUGGAACAUUUGGGAAAUCUGUUACAAGCGAAUGCUCAGCAGGAUGGCAAAGACUACAUUGUUCUUCCCAUAUCAGAGACUUUGAGCAUGGAAGAGGAUUCGGGACUCUCUCUGCCUACGUCACCUGUUUCCUGUAUGGAGGAAGAGGAAGUGUGUGACCCCAAAUUCCAUUAUGACAACACAGCAGGAAUCAGUCAGUAUCUGCAGAACAGUAAGCGAAAGAGCCGGCCUGUCAGUGUAAAAACAUUUGAAGAUAUCCCGUUGGAAGAACCAGAAGUAAAAGUAAUCCCAGAUGACAACCAGACGGACAGUGGUAUGGUUCUUGCAUCCGAAGAGCUGAAAACCUUGGAAGACAGAAGCAAAUUAGCCCCAUCUUUUAGGUUUGAAGUCUGGCAUAAGGACUCAGCAUGAAGAACAAAUUGCUGGAUGACAAGCGCCUGGGAAGAUUGCAGUGUGAUAGAGUCAGGAUUCAGUAAAAGCUCACUGGCUUAUUGCAGGGAUUGGCAACAAGUGGUUCACACGGAAAUUCAGGAACAACAUUGCUCUUCUGAAAGCUAUUUCAGGAUUCCACACGUUUUGUUGACAUUUGGAUACAAGCUUAAGCAAUGGUGUGCCGGUUUUAAUCCAUGGCCAGGUCAGGAUCAAGUCUUCAAGUUUCCUAUCUUCUCAACAGCACCCAAUUCAGUGUUGGGUGGAUGUGUCAGGAAGGCCCUGACUCUUAGCCCAUCCAGGGGCUGUAUUUUAAGGAAGAAGAAACACAUGUGUGGAUCUGAUAAGAUCUGAGUGAUAUGUGGAGAAGAUGCCCUAUGAGUGACGAUCAGCUGUGUUUACCAUUUAACUCUACAGCGGCAAGCCAAGAUAACUGUCGUGGUCUGUGGACAGAAGUUCAUGAAGAUCACUGCUUGACAGAGUUGCCCUUCUGUUUUCUGAAGUUACUUUAAGGAUCAUCUUUCAGAAGGAAAACAACCUGGCAUAUAAACCACUUCUGAGCCUGUUUAUCCAGAGUGGAGGGUGAGGACACUAAUAGGCAUGAAAAACAAUUUCAAGGGUGUUAAGCUGUAGCUCCAGGCUUCACCUUCAAGGAAUCAGUGUCUCAGGCUGCUAUUGAACAAGAAGAUGUUGAUGCCAGUGUCUCUGGGGGAGACAAGAGACUAGAUUGAAUAUUGCUGAAUUUGUUUUCUGAAGAAAUAUUUAGAAACAUCUGCCCUUCACUUUUCAUCUUUUCACCUGCACACCUGAUUAAACAUCUAUAAAAGUAACUGCAAAGUCGGAUAAUCACCACAAUGAGGACCAGAUGCAGAUGUGCCUCCUGGAAAAGGGAGUGGAUCACAGUGGAAGAGUAGCACGUGGGGACGGCUAGGAAAGGGAAGACAAAUGGGGCAGCCAGAGAUGUGUCUCAGAAGAAGGCUGGGGAGAUCAUUCUGGGACCUCCCCAGUCUCUGGACGAGGCCAGAAAGGUACAGGCUGAGCCAAGAACUCAUGAAUGCCUCUGGUCAGUGAGUUAAUCAUUUAAUGAAUAAGGAAACUAUGUAUGGGCCUCCAGGUUAAAGGUUAACGGGCAGGGUUUCAAAAACAAUUUCAUUAAGUAGACACUAAUAGAUUACAACUUAUGUGUUCCCACAUUAAAACAAGAAACUGGUUCAAAUGAACGAAUGCAUACUGGAUUCAAAAUUAUUUUUAAAAAAGUGCGAGUGAGCGGCUGAGGAAAGCUGAAAUCUUAAGAUAGAAAUAAAAGCACCACGUAGUAUGGAGCAUUGAGUAGCUAUUGGGAAGUUAAUUGUGUAUACAUUGAUCUUCCCAAAGAGACAGUGGUUCUAUAGAUAGUGGUCCAGGGAGGGACUCUGUCUUCAUCCUUCUGUUCCUCAUAGUGGAUUAAUUCAAUAAAUAGGAGUUGAAUUCAACUCAGUGUCACACUGGCAUUAUGGUUGUACAUUGGGUAUGCAGAAAAAAAUCAGUGAAAUUGUUUAUAGUACCAAGAAUUCCCUAUAAUGGAUCUAACUCACCUGUACCUUCAAACUGAGAAAGAAAGAAAAAAGGAUACACUCAUUAUGUAAUAAAAUUAAGGUGUGUGUUUUAAACACCUGGAAAGAAAUCCAGCUGUUAUGUUUCAACCCCCCAACAUCAAAUGGACUGAAGAUGGAUUGUUAAGAACCACUACCACCACCGCUACAGCAAACACAGAGCAGACACCGUUCCAAGUAUUGUACAUAUUAAUGCACUUAAUCCUCAUAAAACUCUAUAAGAUAGGUACUAUUGUGGUCUUCAUUUUACAGAGAGAGAAACUGAGACACAGAGAGGUUACAUUACUUGCCCCAGGUCAUACAACAAGUGAGCAGCAGAAGCUGGAUUUGAAUCAAUGCACUUAGGCUCUAAACUCUGUGCUGUGGACCCUCACUUUACUACUCCCCUAUGGGACUGUGCAAUGUGCUGGAAUAAUGUUGGAAAAAAAUACUAUAAACUUACUAGAUAGGGAGCAUUUCAUUCCACCUGUAGUAUUCAGGGAAGACCUUCUAAAGGAGGCAUGAUGUGGGAGUUCCCUGGUGGUCUGGUGGUUAGGAUUUGGUGCUUUCACUGCCAUGGCCCCGGUUCAAUCCCUGGUCGGGGAACUGAGAUCGCACCAGCUGUGCAGUGUGGCCAAAAAAUAAAUAAAUAGAUAAAGGAGGCAUGAUGUGAGUUGAAGGACAAGCUGGAUUUCAGCGGGUGGGGAAGGAAAGAGGUCAUGAAGGAUGGGGUAGGUGUGCAUAGAUGGGUAGAGGAGAUGAAGAAAGGUGUUGCAGAUGACAGAAGGGAAUGAGAAGGAAUAUAAAUUCAAGGCAAUUUGGGGAAAUAGUGGAUAGACCAGUUUGGCAGGAGAUAACUUGGAAAGGUACAGAUGAUGGUGGGAUGAACUUGAUCCCUGAAGGCAAUGGGAAGCUAUUGAAAACUUUUGGGCUAGUAAACAACAUGAGUAGAAAAUCUUCCUGGCUUCCUCCAGACCAAAACUGGACCUCAAGACUUGGAAACCCAUCCUGCCCAAUGACUGAAUUUAGUUAGAAGUUAAGCCCAAAUACAGAACAUGGGUUUCAAGGGUCUCAGAUCUCAGUUGUACAAUUAGGCUACUUUGUUUACUUUCCUUUUUCAUGUAAAAACACUAUUUUUGAAUGAACUUAUUUACAAAACAGAAAUAGAGUCACAGAUGUAGAAAACGAACUUACGGUUAGUUACG